GAUAAAACAUGUUGGAUAUAGAAUAAAAAAUGUUGGAAUGCUUAAGUAUUUUUUUAGAAGGCAUUAAGCCAAGCCUGAAUAAUUUGAAAUAUUUGGCCCUUGAAUAUGUCAGAGAUGAAACUAAGCUCUGAAUUUUGGAAGAAAACUUUACAAAAGAACUAUUGUCAUCUAAGGAUUGUUGUCAUUGUUUGUUUUCAGAUGCUCAUGUGAACAAAGGAAUGCAAGCUGGUCUCUGUGGGAGCCAUUUCUGGAGAACUAAAGGGGAACUGUCUGGUCAAAGCCUGAACAGGUGGCUGAGCACCUGGUGAAGGGGUAUUGUUGUCCCAGGAAGCAUAGCGGCAAAAAUUUUACCAACCACUUCCUUAGAAGGAGAUGUCGGCAGCCAGCGAUCCUUGUCCCCAGCUGUGUGAGUCAACCUUUUUUCCUGUAUAUGGCUACUGGUAUUCCCAACAGUACUUUGACUGGUAUUGCAAAGAAUUUGUCAGAAGUACUUUUGAUGCUUCAUAGGACAAACAGUUACACAACCAGAAACAAAGAAG
ensembl:lncRNA